rnacentral:lncRNA from 1 species
CUUUAUUCUAUUCCUUUAAUAUACAUGCUGUAUAGUCACAAAUAUGGAUCUUCAGGAAGCUGACGUGUAAGGGGACCAGACCCCUUGUUACCAUCAAAUUGUUUUUCUUGCUGGAGCUGUACAGUUACUCUGUGCAUGUCCCAGCUCCUUGAUGGGACUGAGAUGUCUGAAGUGGUUUCAGCUCAGUGGAAAUGAAGCGUGAAAACAUGAAAUAAGCCCACGUUGUUUUUCACAUACAGUGAUUUUCUGUACUUGAUACAGGCAGUAUUAGUGAGUUCACCAGUUAGUUUUGCGGUAUGCUUUCUAUUAUGAAGCAUAAAACGUUCUAGAAUUCCAAAAGCAGUUAACUUGAGCACUCAUUAGAAGUAUUAAUACUUAACAGGAACUCAUAUAGUCAACUUAAUGGAAACGUGCCAUUGUAACACUCUGAUCACUUUCUCUGAGUGUUCAGAAUAUGUGUGGGCUACUUACUAGACUAAAAUCAGAGAGAUUGCUAUUAUCCUGGGAUCACUAUCUUUGAUGGACCCUUGAGCUGUGUGCAGAACCCUCCAGUGGGUCUGUCUGCCAGAAAGACACCAACCUGCAGUACCUGCUAUGUCCCCAUGGACCUAUGAUGCUCACAGGUGUUGUAGUCACUUAGUUAAAUCAAAGAUUUCUUCCUGAUGCCAGAAGAGAUCUGGAGGCAGAGGUUCCACUUCUGUAAUCAUUGGCAGUGACAAAGGGAGUGGCCAAGAGCAAUCUGUGCACACAAAUAAGUGCAUUUACAGGACAAGAAUAAAAAAAAAAGUGAAGCUGUUCUACAUCUCUGAAUGGUUCCCUUCCAUGGUCCCCAGCAGAAUUCCAAUCAAGCAGUUAUGGUGCGGAAGGCAAGGUAAGAGUAAUUGCUAGAUAACUAUGUCAUGUUUUAAGGAAGGGUGGAGUAAUGGCAGGACUGUAGUGUAGUAUUUGAAACUCUUGAUGUUCCUCAAAAUAGACACAUGAAAAUAGCAUACUGUGUUUGAGCAUGCCUCUGGAGCAAAUUCUGUAAAGUUCAUCGUAAGUAUACUUUA